CCUACGGGAGGCUGCAGUGAGGAAUCUUGGUCAAUGGGCGCGAGCCUGAACCAGCCAAGUAGCGUGAAGGAUGACUGCCCUACGGGUUGUAAACUUCUUUUAUAAAGGAAUAAAGUGAGGCGCGUGUGCCUUUUUGUAUGUACUUUAUGAAUCCGGAUCGGCUCACUUCGUGCCAGCAGCCGCGGUAAUACGGAGGAUGCGAGCGUUAUCCGGUUUUAUUGGGUUUAAAGGGAGCGUAGAUGGGUUGUUAAGUCAGUUGUGAAAGUUUGCGGCUCAACCGGACAAUUGCAAUUGAUACUGGCAGACUUGAGUACAGAUGAGGUAAGCGGAAUUCGUGGUGUAGCGGUGAAAUGCUUAGAUAUCAGGAAGAACUCCAAUGGCGAAGGCAGCUUACUAAACUGCCACUGACAAUGAGGCUCGAAAGUGUGGGUAUCAAACAGGAUUAGAUACCCGAGUAGUC
rnacentral:rRNA from 1 species